CCUUCUGAAGUGAACUUUGUUGCGUCAUUUCCAAGACUUUUCUCAUGCUAUAAAAUACUAACACAAUUACACAAAGCUUUAAAUAUGUACACAUUAAAAUGUAAAAAAGUGAGGAGCUUUUGUGAAGCCAACCAUUUCUUCAAAAUAUCUUACGCAGAGUAGUGAAGUCUCAAAAACGAUAACCUUCUUUCCACUUUCAAAAAAAAAAAAAAAAUAGAUAGCAUUUUACAGUUGAC
rnacentral:lncRNA from 1 species